rnacentral:lncRNA from 1 species
ACGCGAAGGCGCUGCAGGAGAAGACCGCCAAGAAGGCAGCGCAGGCGGCUGGCGGAGAUUCCGCUGGAGGUAAAGGCAAUAAUAAGAAAUAAACAAACUGAAUAAAUGUUCGAUUGAGAUUCCGCCCGUGGUUUGUGUUUUUCGAGCUUUUUUUGUUUAAUUUUAAAUUUAUUGUGGUGUUAAUAAACAAUUUGAUGUGGUUGUACAAUGUUCUAUAUUUGCUUUGUAUUGAUAUUCGGAUUGGCGUCUAAAUACAAGAAUUUAAUUUUUGUUGUGUUUGUUUC